rnacentral:lncRNA from 1 species
UCUUGCCUCCUUUGUCAAAGAUUAAUUGACCAUAGGUGCCUGAUUUAUUUCUGGGUUCUCUAUUCUGUUCCAUUGGUCUGUACGUCUGUUUUUGUACCUGUCUUGAUUACUGUAGCUUUAUAAUGUCUGAAAUCUGGGAGAAUUAUGCCUCCUGCCUGGUUUUUGUUCCUCAGGAUUGCUUUGGCAAUUCAUAGACCAAUGUUUUCACAGGCCCACAGAUGCUCAGAGCUGCCAUCUGGACCUGCGUUUCCCCCCGUGUGAAACAUGUUCCACCUGAUUUCAAGUGUCCAUGCAGAAGUUCUUGGGCCAGGAAUCAAACCUGUGCCACAGCAGCGACCAGAGCUGCUGCAGUGACAAUGCCGGAUCCUUAAGCCACUGUACCACAAGGGAACUCCAACUAAGAAGAAAGUCACGGGUGUUUGUUCUGUAGGAAUCUGAGGUGUG